UUUGAAGCAGCCGGUGGCUAGAGAAAUCAAAUGAAGGUUAGUGAUCCUCUGCAGCAUUCUUGAGCCUCACAGACACUUUACACUGAAUCUUUGAUGUUGUCAGAGGGAAAAAUAUGGAGUCCAGAGGAUUGAGGGGAGAUUUAUUUUUAAUCAAAGGCUGGUUCUACUAACAAGAACAGAGGCAGAUUAUGGGACUAAAAUAGCAGAGACAGAGGAGUGAGAUGUGGUCUCAUUAGCGUGCAGUUUUCUUUGCAGAGGCGUGGAAUUUUCUGUCUGAUGUUCUGACCUGAAACGACCUGGACUCGACCGGAACGUUUUCUUUUUGUGCUGCUUAUCACACAGACCCAAGAGCAAAGACAAAAGGAUGGAGAGGCAAUGCUCUAACGCCGAUAUGAAAUCCCCCCCACCCUCCCUUAAUCUAGCCCACAACCCCACAGGGCAGCUCUAACAACCCCUGUUGUCAAGCUAGAUGUGGUUGCCCUGGUAACAGGCGAGUUUAUUAGCGUCUUCCUCACUGCCUCUCUCACACGCUCUCAGGAGAACAACACGUCAUUCUGUGUUUCUGUUGCGGGGUACAUUCAAACCAGAAUGAGUUUAUUAAGCAUACAUACAUGACUAAGACUUCAGACUAAAUAAGAUCAAUUAAAAAGGUUUCUGGCAGCUUGUAAUGAUCUGUUCACUCCAUUUGUUUUUAGAAGUUUAUAAAUUACGGUCAACAGGGCUGUUAAAUAGCUUCAAUAAUGACAAAAUGCCUAAUUCAACUGUUUGGAAAAUGGAAAACUACUCCUUCUUUCUGCACUGCGUAAAGCCGUGUAAUACUUUUGUAAACAGAUCUGUGUAAGGGACAUUGAUCUUAGUUUAAAGUG